UAAUUAAUGCUUCCCAAAAUAUGAAUCACUCCAACCACGACUUUGGUAUUAAGUUAACCUUGUGAUGUAUUGGUCUCUUGAAUAUCGUGAAUCCGGUGACUGUAAAGUUACCGAACAGCACCAGUGUAUUUUAUGCUCUUAUUUUGCAAUUAAUAAAUUCCAAUGAUUGAAAACAUGGCAUAUAAAACCAUAAACUAAAGCCAUACGUUUUUAUUAUGGACUAAUCUUGCUCUAGAUUUAUUCUGGUUUCAUUCACACAUUUUUUUGUUAUUCUCCACAUCAGGCAAUUUCCGAGUGUUUGGUGAGCAGCCAAGAGGGAAAAAAAGAUUCACUUCUCCUGCUCCUGCCCCCUGCGUUGUUAAAAGGACAGAUUUUAAUAUGUAUGUCCUUUCGGGGCCCUGCCAGUUCACUCCAAAGGGCUCUGAAGAGCUAGAACAUGCAUAUGCUGGCCUGGGAAAGAGGAUUCUCAGUAUACCAGACAACCUCAUACACAGUGAGAAUGGGCAUUGAUCUUCACAGUGGAGCAGCUGGUCCAACGAGAGAGGAACAACCAGGACCUUCAGUGCCACGCCCACGAUUAGCGCCAUCUUCUUCAGAAGGUGGUUUCUUCGUAACUAUCACUGCUGUGGUGUAAUAUGAAACUAGAAAAACGUUUUAGCCGUAAAUGAGAAAUCUUGCUACAAAAUGAUCCAGUCAUUUUAAAAGGAACAUUGAUUUCAGUUCCUGCAGUUAAUAUAUUGCUUUAAAAUGCUGGGCUUCCAAAAUGUCACUGAAAGGCAUACAAUUUCUGAAGUUCCCUGCACCAACAACUUUUUUUUAUUUUCUUCUUUUUAGCAUGGGCCACUGAAGUAGACCCCCAGAAAGCUUGUCAGUUGUUCAGAGAAAAUCUCCUGGACCGUAGCUCUGAAUGUCCAAGCCUCCUCCUCUCUCUCAACAUGUUUGAAGAAGAAGAAGAAGAAGAAGAACAGGACAGUUCAUUUAUUUCAUUCUAUAAAAGGAAUGAUGUUAACUGGGCAAGUCCAUUCAGGUGCAGGCUGAGAGGUAUAAAAAAAACAGCAUAACUUAUUUAUUUUCAUUAGAGGCAUUAUCAACUGAAUUUUUACUCAAAAUUGCAUAAUGAGGUUUUAGUGCAUGUUACUUUAUCCAUGGAAGACAGAAUUUGUUGCGCUUGUUGUAGUUUAAUCUUAAGUGUGUAGCACAAUAGCCAUAUAAUGUGGUUGCUUGUACUUUUCUUCUGUAUUCAUCUUUAUUUUAAUAGGAGAUGCAGCAGUCGGCGAUGGUGUCAACCGACAAGUUUUGUCAAUGGCCAUGCAGAAACUGAAGUCUGGCUUCAGUAUCAAUUUAGGCUCUGCUGAUCUUUCAAGCCUUUUUGAAGGGGAAAAAGAACAUCGGGUUCCCUCUGCAGCUGUUGUGCUUCGGGAAAGCAACCUGUUUGAGAUGGCAGGUCGAAUGAUAGGCCAUUCCUUCCUGCAUGGUGGUUAUGGUGUGUCAGGAAUCAGUUUGCCUGUGGUGACCCUGUUGACUGGUGGGAGCACAAACACAGCAGUGUCAGCUCUGAGCCUGCUGGACUGUCCUGAUCUUGACCAUCGGGAAACAAUUGGUUUUCUGAAGAAUACAGAACUUACUGCAGCAGAAACCACCCGUGUGACUGAUCUUUGCCUGUCCUGGGAUCUCCCUGUUCCAACCUCAACCAAUCACGACUGGCUGUUCCAGGAACUGCUUUCACAUGCGGUAAUUCACCGUGUUAGGCUGCCUUUCAAGCAGAUCCGCAAAGGUCUUAAAGAGACAGGAAUCUGGCCGCUUCUUUCGAGUAGACCAGAUGUCUGACCCAUAAUCUUUCCGAGGGAGUCAAAUGAGGAGCUUAAGCCACAGGCUGUCAUCCAGAACAUCCACUGGCCACAACCCAAAUCUGACAGCGACGAGGAAGAGGAUGACACUGUUCCAUUGGAGAAAGUCAGUCUCAUCACUGGAUUUUUGAGGAAAUUCAUAGAGGAAGCGUCACCAGAGGUGCUGCGUGACCUCAUGAGGUUCUGGGUUGGCUGGGAGCUGCCAGCAAAAAAGCUAUUUGUUGAAGUUGCAACCUCGACCUACCCGACGGCUUUUACCUGCUUCUACAAAUUGAAGCUCCCCGGCCACUACCAAACCUACAUCUUUCACCAGGAAAUGAUGAUGGCCAUCAGUUCUGUCAGUUCCGGAUUUGGUCUUGUGUAGUUUUAAAACAAGUUGAGUUAAAGAUUUUGUUGAGUUUGUUGAGUUAAAGACGAUGUUCAAGAAUUUUAUAAACUGGAAGGCUGUUCAAAUGUAUAUUGAUUGACAAUCACCAAAUAAACAUUUUCCAUAAAAAUAUUAAUUUGAACUAGAAAAUAUGGGUUAUGUAGUAAUUUAUGCAGCUGAUUGAGUGAGUCACAUGGCAUGGAAGCUACUGAAGAAAAAUCCAUUUAUUAUAUAAAAACGUAAGAUAAUUUCUAAUAAUGACUAAGUCAGCAUCAUUUUGUCAACCACUUUCCAGACUGUACCAAUCUAGAGUUUUUAAUCCUUAAUGAAAAUUAUAUUCUAUUUACUCAGUUAACAAAGUUUAACAAUGCAAUUUCAAAUUAUCUCAGAUAUAGAUUUUAAAUUUAAAUUUUAAAUCAAGCAAAGCAAUUCAAAUACACAAAUGCAAUAGAUUUCUGCCCAUAGAGGCUUUUCAAUAACAAGACAUAAGUCAGAGCUCAAGACAGGACUUUGUCUGUGGCAGAGACCUUAAAUCGUACGACGCCGAGCAUGUAAUUACCUAGCCUCCAACAGGUUCUCAACAUAUCGGACAGUGUUGAGAUAUAUGUCCACUCCGAAACAUUCAGACUCUUGCAAUGGAUCAAUGUUUUCUUGCAGCUGCAUUAUUUCAGGAUCCAAGAGAGGAAUGUCCAGCGUAGGGACAUUGACGCCUGGAUGAGGCUCAUUUGUGAAUCCACUAUCCUCCCAUUCAAUCUCUGGUAUGAGUAUACCCUGUCAAAGAAAUAGUGUAUAAACAUUCAAUACCCAUUUAUCAUAGCCCCCGUAAACAAGCACUGUUUUUUUAGGUUCGUUUGAUAGAAAAGGGGAUGCAACAAUCUAUCGAUCAUGGAAGAAUAUGAAAGGUGUGUUACAAGUAUAAGAAUUAAGUUAUGUUCCAUCUUUUUGCAACACAUUUACUUCCUGUGGAAAUAUAAAAAUCAGUUCAAAUUAACGUUAAGCUCUUGUUAGUGUAAUACAUAGGCUUGGCUCUUCAUUCACUGACUACCUGGGCACUACUGGCCCAUAUCAUAUACUCCAAUACAUCACAAACACAUGUCCUAAGGUACUGUACAGUUGUGGUAGAAAGAACCCUUUGGUUUAUUGCACAAAGCCAAGGCU